rnacentral:misc_RNA from 1 species
ACAAACUUGGUCAUUUAGAGGAAGUAAAAGUCGUAACAAGGUUUCCGUAGGUGAACCUGCGGAAGGAUCAUUACCGAGUGAGGGUCCCACGAGGCCCAACCUCCCAUCCGUGUUGAACUACACCUGUUGCUUCGGCGGGCCCGCCGUGGUUCACGCCUGGCCGCCGGGGGGCCUUGUGCUCCCGGGCCCGCGCCCGCCGAAGACCCCUCGAACGCUGCCCUGAAGGUUGCCGUCUGAGUAUAAAAUCAAUCAUUAAAACUUUCAACAACGGAUCUCUUGGUUCCGGCAUCGAUGAAGAACGCAGC